GGAGAGUUUGAUCAUGGCUCAGAACGAACGCUGGCGGCAGGCUUAACACAUGCAAGUCGAACGCCCUCUUCGGAGGGAGUGGCAGACGGGUGAGUAACGCGUGGGAACCUACCCAAUAGUACGGAAUAACUCAGAGAAAUUUGUGCUAAUACCGUAUACGCCCUUCGGGGGAAAGAUUUAUCGCUAUUGGAUGGGCCCGCGUUGGAUUAGGUAGUUGGUGGGGUAAUGGCCUACCAAGCCGACGAUCCAUAGCUGGUCUGAGAGGAUGAUCAGCCACACUGGGACUGAGACACGGCCCAGACUCCUACGGGAGGCAGCAGUGGGGAAUAUUCGGCAAUGGGGGCAACCCUGACCGAGCCAUGCCGCGUGUGUGAUGAAGGCCCUAGGGUUGUAAAGCACUUUCAACGGUGAAGAUAAUGACGGUAACCGUAGAAGAAGCUCCGGCUAACUUCGUGCCAGCAGCCGCGGUAAUACGAAGGGAGCUAGCGUUGUUCGGAAUUACUGGGCGUAAAGCGCGCGUAGGCGGACUGAUCAGUCAGGGGUGAAAUCCCGGGGCUCAACCCCGGAACUGCCUUUGAUACUGUCAGUCUAGAGUCCGGAAGAGGUGAAUGGAACUCCUAGUGUAGAGGUGAAAUUCGUAGAUAUUAGUGAAGMACACCAGUGGCGAAGGAGAUUCACUGGUCCGGHACUGACGCUGAGGUGCGAAAGCGUGGGGCGCAAACAGGAUUAGAUACCCUGG
rnacentral:rRNA from 1 species